AUGGCGGCGGCGGCGGGGGCGAGGAGCAGGGUGGCGUUCGUGCUGGUGGACGGGAUAGGGGACGUGACCAUCCCUUCCCUCGGUGGGCGUACCCCGCUGGAGGCGGCCGCGGCACCACGGCUGGACGCUGUGGCGGCGGCUGGGGUGGUCGGGCUCAUGGACCCCGUGGAGCCGGGGCUCGCCUGCGGCAGCGACACGGCGCACCUCUCCCUCCUCGGGUACGAUCCCCGCGUAUACUACCGCGGCCGCGGCGCGUUCGAGUCCAUGGGCGCUGGCCUCGCCAUGGCCCCGGGCGACAUCGCCUUCAAGUCGAACUUUGCUACAUUGGACGAAAGCACGGGGGUUAUCGUCAGCAGGAGGGCGGAUAGGCACUUUGAGGAGGAAGGCCCAAUCCUCUGUGCUGCAUUAGAUGGAAUGAAGCUCCCAUCAUUUCCCGAAUAUGAAGUGAGAGUCAGGUACGCUACUGAGCACAGAUGUGGUGUGGUUGUGAAAGGACCAAGGCUAAGUGGAAACAUUUCCGGAACUGAUCCGUUGAAAGACAACCGCUUGCAUCUAAAGGCUGAACCUUUGGAUGAUUCGGAAGAAGCUAAAAACACCGCAGCUGUGGUUAACGAGCUCUCUAAGGAGAUCACACGUAUACUGGUUUCUCAACCCAUCAAUGCAAAGCGUGCUGUCGAGAGGAAGAAUAUUGCUAAUGUUGUGCUAUUGCGAGGCUGUGGUAUCCGGAUUGAGGUACCUCCCUUUGAAACCAAGCAUGGACUCACACCAUGCAUGGUAGCUCCUACCAAGAUCAUAGCCGGGCUGGGGCUGUCGUUGGGCAUUGAUAUCCUUGAAGCACCUGGAGCAACUGGAGAUUAUAGAACUCUCUUAACUUCCAAGGCAAAAGCUAUAGCCAAGGCACUCUCUGCUCCUCUGGACACACCACCUCGCGUUUUUGUGCCUGGAGAGGAUGAAUAUAAAGCCGGAAGAGAAAAUGGAUACGACUUUGGUUUCUUGCACAUCAAGGCUAUUGAUGAUGCUGGCCAUGACAAGGCUGUCAAGUUAAAGGUGCGAGGUCUGGAAGCUGUCGACCGGGCUAUUGGUCAGCUUGCAAGGCUCCUGUGGGAAGCUGAGAAGUCGGGGCACUACCAGUACUUCCUCUGUGUCACUGGAGACCACUCUACUCCUGUUGAGUACGGAGACCACAGCUUUGAACCUGUCCCGUUUGCGAUAUGCCGGCUGAGAGAUUUCGUGGGAGCGAUUGGGGAGGGCAAUGUGAUGAAUACCCCCCUCGACGAUUUCCCGCUGCCUUCGGUUAAAUCCGGAGAAGAUUUAACUGAUGAUUCAGAACCAGCGGAACACAAGCCUGAGGAGCGUAAAGCUUUUAGCGGCGAUACAGUGUGUGAAUACACCGAGAUUGCUGCUGCAAGGGGCUGCCUUGGGCGGUUCCCUGGAAGUGAGAUGAUGGGCAUCAUCAAGAAGUUCAUGAAAGCAAAGAACGAUUAA
rnacentral:rRNA from 1 species